rnacentral:rRNA from 1 species
GAUGAACGCUGGCGGCGUGCCUAAUACAUGCAAGUCGAGCGAACAGACGAGGAGCUUGCUCCUUUGACGUUAGCGGCGGACGGGUGAGUAACACGUAGGUAACCUACCUAUAAGACUGGGAUAACUUCGGGAAACCGGAGCUAAUACCGGAUAAUAUUUCGAACCGCAUGGUUCGAUAGUGAAAGAUGGCUUUGCUGUCACUUAUAGAUGGAACCGCGCCGGAUUAGCUAGUUGGUAAGGUAACGGCUUACCAAGGCAACGAUCCGUAGCCGACCUGAGAGGGUGAUCGGCCACACUGGAACUGAGACACGGUCCAGACUCCUACGGGAGGCAGCAGUAGGGAAUCUUCCGCAAUGGGCGAAAGCCUGACGGAGCAACGCCGCGUGAGUGAUGAAGGUCUUCGGAUCGUAAAACUCUGUUAUUAGGGAAGAACAAACGUGUAAGUAACUGUGCACGUCUUGACGGUACCUAAUCAGAAAGCCACGGCUAACUACGUG